rnacentral:rRNA from 1 species
CCACGGUGCUGAAGCAACAAAUGCCCUGCUUCCAGGAAAAGCCUCUAAGCAUCAGGUAACAUCAAAUCGUACCCCAAACCGACACAGGUGGUCAGGUAGAGAAUACCAAGGCGCUUGAGAGAACUCGGGUGAAGGAACUAGGCAAAAUGGUGCCGUAACUUCGGGAGAAGGCACGCUGACACGUAGGUGAAGUGAUUUACUCACGGAGCUGAAGUCAGUCGAAGAUACCAGCUGGCUGCAACUGUUUAUUAAAAACACAGCACUGUGCAAACACGAAAGUGGACGUAUACGGUGUGACGCCUGCCCGGUGCCGGAAGGUUAAUUGAUGGGGUCAGCGCAAGCGAAGCUCCUGAUCGAAGCCCCGGUAAACGGCGGCCGUAACUAUAACGGUCCUAAGGUAGCGAAAUUCCUUGUCGGGUAAGUUCCGACCUGCACGAAUGGCGUAAUGAUGGCCAGGCUGUCUCCACCCGAGACUCAGUGAAAUUGAACUCGCUGUGAAGAUGCAGUGUACCCGCGGCAAGACGGAAAGACCCCGUGAACCUUUACUAUAGCUUGACACUGAACAUUGAGCCUUGAUGUGUAGGAUAGGUGGGAGGCUUUGAAGCGUGGACGCCAGUCUGCGUGGAGCCGACCUUGAAAUACCACCCUUUAAUGUUUGAUGUUCUAACGUGGACCCGUAAUCCGGGUUGCGGACAGUGUCUGGUGGGUAGUUUGACUGGGGCGGUCUCCUCCUAAAGAGUAACGGAGGAGCACGAAGGUUGGCUAAUCCUGGUCGGACAUCAGGAGGUUAGUGCAAUGGCAUAAGCCAGCUUGACUGCGAGCGUGACGGCGCGAGCAGGUGCGAAAGCAGGUCAUAGUGAUCCGGUGGUUCUGAAUGGAAGGGCCAUCGCUCAACGGAUAAAAGGUACUCCGGGGAUAACAGGCUGAUACCGCCCAAGAGUUCAUAUCGACGGCGGUGUUUGGCACCUCGAUGUCGGCUCAUCACAUCCUGGGGCUGAAGUAGGUCCCAAGGGUAUGGCUGUUCGCCAUUUAAAGUGGUACGCGAGCUGGGUUUAGAACGUCGUGAGACAGUUCGGUCCCUAUCUGCCGUGGGCGCUGGAAGAUUGAGGGGGGCUGCUCCUAGUACGAGAGGACCGGAGUGGACGCAUCACUGGUGUUCGGGUUGUCAUGCCAAUGGCACUGCCCGGUAGCUAAAUGCGGAAAAGAUAAGUGCUGAAAGCAUCUAAGCACGAAACUUGCCCCGAGAUGAGUCUUCCCUGAGACUUUGAGUCUCCUGAAGGAACGUUAAAGACGAUGACGUUGAUAGGCCGGGUGUGUAAGCGCAGCGAUGCGUUGAGCUAACCGGUACUAAUGAACCGUGAGGCUUAACCUU